UUCACGAAUAUACCUUCAUAAUCGAAAAAAAUAAAUUACAAUAUGGGCAUCGUUAUUCGUCGGUUGAAGAUUACUUCGCGUUGUUUGUCUUGCUUUAUGCAUUUAUCGUUUGUGAUUCCAUUUUAUAUUUGGAGAUCCUCCAUCUCAUGCAUUUGUGAUUUGUCACAAGCAGACAGCUGGCUCCACGCAGGCGAGUGAUGGUUUGGUUUGCUUAAUCGAUUUGUUCAGAGCUGUUGGCGACUGUCGUGUAGUGAUGUUGGAUGACGACGAGCAUGGACGAGGGAUCAUCCCAGCACAUGGCGUGGAAAGCAAGAGCUUUUCAUUCUUUCUUGAUAAAAAGCAAGAACGAUUGUGUUUUAAGGAUCCUUUCGUUGCUUUCCCAUUGAUCCAGCAUGUCAUCAUGCUUCAAGGCGAAGACACCACCAGUAACACACAGUGACUAGAAAAGAAGACAGUCAAAAAAAGCAGCACGUCAGGUGAAAAGUAAUGUUAACGCCUCCCUCUCUCUCUCUCUCUGACAGAUCCUUUUUCUACACGAGCACUGUUCCUGUAAGGGUGUUCUGAUGUACAAGGAAAACAAUGUCAAUAUUAUUAUAUUAUGCAUCUUUUGAUCUCA